GACGAACGCUGGCGGCGUGCUUAACACAUGCAAGUCGAACGGAAAGGCCUCUUUCGGGGGGUACUCGAGUGGCGAACGGGUGAGUAACACGUGAGUAACCUGCCCUUGACUUUGGGAUAACUUCAGGAAACUGGGGCUAAUACCGGAUAGGAGCUCCUGCUGCAUGGUGGGGGUUGGAAAGUUUCGGCGGUUGGGGAUGGACUCGCGGCUUAUCAGCUUGUUGGUGGGGUAGUGGCUUACCAAGGCUUUGACGGGUAGCCGGCCUGAGAGGGUGACCGGCCACAUUGGGACUGAGAUACGGCCCAGACACCUACGGGAGGCAGCAGUGGGGAAGAUUGCACAAUGGGUGGAAGCCGGAUGCAGCAACGCCGUGGGCGGGAGGACGGCCUUCGGGUUGUAAACCGCUUUCGCUCAUGACGAAGCUUUGUGUGACGGUAGUGGGUAAAGAAGCACCGGCUAACUACGUG
rnacentral:rRNA from 1 species